CUUUAAAGACUGUUGCAGGUUUGCUCACACAGACACAGAUGAUCAUCCCUUGGUGAAUAACUCCCUACAGUACAUCCUGGAGAGUGCUCCGCAUAUUACUGCGAGCUAAAUAAGCACUAUGGACCCAGGGACCGCCACCCCAGAAACACCAGUAUGAAAAAGAGUGAGACUCACAUAGGCUGCAGUGCUGAGCUGAGGCAUGUGAAAGAUCCUGAGGAUGCAGGAAGCUGUACCAAGAUUGGGACCGCAGAGUCUCCACAUUUAGUCCCAAAUAAACAUUCACACUGAAAGUUGGAAAAAGAUGAA